CUAGCAAACAAUUACUUUACAGAAUAAUCAUAAUAUAAAAAUCAUUAAGAUUUAACAUCACAUUAAGGCACAACAUAUUCAUGUAUGACUAAUUUCUAUUUCCUCUUCGAUUACAUACUACAAAAAGAUUGUAUACGUCACACUUUCCAAUAAUAAUAAAAGUACUUAUUUUCCUCAAGUUAAGGUGCUUUUUACAAAGACAGUGUUCUGUGUAUUUGCAAUAGAAUCCACAAUGCAACAUAUUGUACAGAAACAAAUGUUGAAUAAAUUACAGCAGUAAAGUUCAGUCAAUGAAACAUCCAUGCUUGAAGCCUGCAAUUUCCUAGCUCUAGCCUAAGAAAUAGCAAAUAAAAUGUUUUUUUCGCUAAACUGGGAAUUGGGCCUAAAAAUUGUAGAUACCCUGCAAAUUUUCUACAUGUCCCAAAUUAGUGAGUAAACAUUACUUAACAUACUAUACGGUACUUAACUUUGGGAGGGUUUCAGGACACUCCUGACACCAUAACCACUACAGCAGGAUGUAGUAGUUAUGUUGCUUAGAUUGUUUCUUUAAGGAAAAUACAGGUAAUAAGCCUUAUCAUUUAGAAAUCAAGUGCAAUAAAGUAAUGCAGUCAUGGUUAUGGUUAUAAUCCAGCCCACUAAUGAAAAAAAAAAAUAAUUGUCAUUCUACUCUGGCCAGUGAUAUGGUUUCAGAAUUGGCUGCACUUAUAACUAUAACAUGUUAAUUUGUCUAACUAACCAUGGCCUUCAUUUAAUAAGCUUUCCAAAUGAUUCAGUAUGGCUAGGAAAUAUUUCUAAAUGAUUUAUCUACAAAACUCCCCAAAGACUGUAAUGGCGACUUUUGUUGAUAAAUCAUUUAGAAUGUUUUUCUAAUGGCAUCAGUGGCGUCGCUGGGGGUGGAGAGGGCAGAGGGGGGCCAUGGCCCCACGCACAUCAUGUUGUGCCCUCCCAAUUAAAAUUGAAGUCGAGAGCAAUGAGUCUCCCUUCGGCCAGAGGGGGCACUGUGCUGGGAGGACUUCUUUCUGGGUCACACAGAGCAGCGCAGGGGAGAGACAGGGAGAGGAAGCCCAGCUCUGCACAGAGUCAUCCAGGCAGCUGCCGGUAAGUGUAAGUCAGUGUGUGUGUGGUUCAGGCAGCUGCUGGUAAGUGUAAGUCAGUGUGUGUGUGUGUGGAGAGGGGGGGAUGGUGUGAGGUCAGUCUGAGUGUGUGUGUGUGUGUGUGUGUAUGGGUCAGUCUGUGUGGGGUGGGGCUCAGUCUGUGUGUGUAUGAGUGUGGAGGUGGGUCGUUCAGUCUGUGUGUGGGUCAGUUUGUGUGAAUUUGUCAGUCUGUGUGGGGUGGGUCAGUCUGUGUGUGUGUAUGGGUCAGUCUGUGUGUGUGGGUGGGUGGGUCAGUUUGUGUGUGUGUGGGGGUCAGUCUGUGUGUGUGUAUGCAUCAGUCUACGUGUCUAUAUGGAUCAGUCUGUGUGUGGGGGCAGUCUGUGUGUGUGUGUGUGUGUGUAUGGGUCAGUCUAUGUGUGUGUGUGUGUGUGUGUGUGUGUAUGGGUCAGUGUGUGUGUGUGUGUGUGUGUGUAUGGGUCAGUCUGUGGGUUCGUAUGAGUCAGUCUGUGUAACUGCUAGAGCUCCAAGAGAAAUCAUUUUGUGACUCCCUUGUACCCGAUGGAUAGGCAGCCUUCUCAACCAGCACAUAUCUGAUUGUGUCAUCCCUUCCCUGCAAGGUAAGAUAGGUAAAGGGGAAUAUAUUAAUCUUUUUUUUUUUACAUAAUUAUCAAAGUAAAAAUUGUAAAGGUCUUCCCUAUCCCACUUUCUAAACCCCAUAAACACAGUACACACUCACAUACAUUAAACCCCCACAUACAGUACACUCCCAUCAACAGAGUACACCUUUGCAUACACACACAGUGCACCCCUCACACACAUCUCUUCCCUACAUACCUUCACCCCCACACACACAUGCAUACAUACAUAUAUGCUUCACCCC